AUAUCAAUAAGCGGAGGAAAAGAAACUAACAAGGAUUCCCCUAGUAACUGCGAGUGAAGCGGGAAAAGCUCAAAUUUGAAAAUCUGGCGGCUCCUGGCUGUCCGAGUUGUAUUCUAGGAGAAGCGUCUUCCGCGUCGGACCGUGUACAAGUGCUCCUGGAACUGGAGCGUCAUAGAGGGUGAGAAUCCCGUCUUUGACACGGAUGCCUGAUGCUUCUGUGAUGCGCUCUCGAAGAGUCGAGUUGUUUGGGAAUGCAGCUCAAAAUGGGUGGUGAACUCCAUCUAAAGCUAAAUAUUGGCGAGAGACCGAUAGCGAACAAGUACCGUGAGGGAAAGAUGAAAAGCACUUUGGAAAGAGAGUGAAACAGUAC
rnacentral:rRNA from 1 species